rnacentral:lncRNA from 1 species
CAGGACCCAGCCUGUGGGAUGGGACCAGAGGGGCCCUCCCAUCUCAAUUAACCCAGUGCCCAGAGGUUUGUCCCCUAGGUGGCUGUACAUCCUGCUAAAUGGGCAGUCAACAAUAACCACCACAGCUGGGUUUCUCCCAUCCCUGCUCGACUCCUUCCAUGUCUGUAGCCCAUGAAUUCACAGGGCUUACAUUCAGGGCUAGCCUUUGCCUGUUACUGCUGUGGAAAUGUCUCCCAGUACAGCUCAGAGGUAUGCCUCCAUCUUCUAGGUAAUUCUAAAUCCAGUCAACCUGACAAUGGAGAUUAAUGGUCAUAGCCUCCAGCCAGGCCCUCUCCCCGGCUCUGUAGUAACCGAAGACGUUUACAUUCUGCAGUUCUCACCAGUGUUUUUUUUUUGGAAGAAGAUAUCCAGGGUCACUAAGAGGCCAACUCUCUUGAGCAAUUCACUGGUGACAGGCCCACUCCACAGGGAAAGUGCUUGUCUUAGGCUUGCCACAAGAAGUUCUGGAUAAUUCAUCGGCUUUGCUGAAGGUGAUGACUCUCAACUGUCACCCAUGCUGCUCGUGCAGACAACUUGUUAACUACACAGAAACAACGAUUUCUUUCCUGUGUUUUGAAAGCCAGAAGAACUCCCUGCUUUGGUUCUGGUGACGCCCCAGGGACACUUGAGCUGAGAAUAUCUCUUUCCAGGAAGGAGCCACCAGUAUGAAAGCGCAGAUUCCCUUUUACCCCGCACAACUGAAAACAAAGCACUGGCCCCUCAAUGGGCCUAGACCAGACACAGUCACGACAGGAACGCCCUUGCCUCAGUACAGCUGCCAGGGGUUCCAUCCAGAACUUAAAACUGCAAACCCAUGGGGUUUGGGAAGAAGAGACCCAUGCCUGGGAUCACCAAUGUAUGUAUGGGUAAGGUGGAGCGGUCAGCCACCAAAGAAGCAGGAAUGGGGGGGCAGUUUCUGGACCACACCAUUUCAAUAAAUGAAGACAAAAGAAGAGAAACCUCUAGGGUAAUGAACCCUCGAAAAACUCCACCAAGACUGAAUGAUGGGUUUGAAGUCUAGAAGAGCAGGCCAUGUGGUUACAUGAUAUCCAGGUAAAAAAGAUCUCAACAGGGGAAUCUUGUAGAGGUCAGUAGACUGACCUUGCUCCUUCCUACCUGCCUGCCUUUGCCCUUUGGGUCUGCACCUGUUCUUAGCAGCCAGCAUCUGUCUCGGGCAACUGAGGAGUACCAAGGCCACUAGGGAGUACCAAAAGGUACUAGGGAGUGCUGAAGGGCACUGAGGAGCACUGAGGAGCACUGAGGAACAUUGAGGAUGCCGGGAAGUACUGAGGCUUGUGGGUGGGAGAGGAGUUUGUGCUCCCAGCAGAGGAAGGAGCAAACUGCAUGGGGUGGAAAAAUACUGACUAGUACGUUUCACCAUGGAAGGCUGGAGCAGCUUGUCACACACACUCAAGCCUGCAGCACUCAGGCAGAGUGUCAGGAAUAUGUGCUCAGUUUUACCGAUGUUCCUUCUGAACUGCAGUCUUUACUUUUUGUGAGCAUAUGAAGUCCAAAGGUCAGUUUGGGUUUCUUUCUCUGCACUGUCCACCUUAUCCUUUGAGACAAGGUCUCUCACUGAACUUGGAGCUCACGGAUGUGGCUAGACUGGCUGGCCAGUGAGCCCAGGGAACCCCCCCUCUCCAGUGCUGGGGUGGAGAUGGUCCAAUACUUGAGAGGAGGAGGCAGGAUGGUCAGAAAUUCAAGUUUAUUCUCACCAACUUAGAGGCCAGCCUUGGCUACAUGAAAGUCUGUUCUGGAAAAAAAAUCAUCAAUAGAUAACCAAUAUUCUGCUUCCAAAAUAGAAUUUGUGUGUUUCACCUCAUUUUAACCUUCCAUCAUAAGUCAUCCUUUUAUCUCAUGGUUGAAAGUGAUGGUUUGAAACAGAAGAUGGGUUUGGGGGGGAAUAAGAAGAAUUCCUGGAACCAGUCUCUCAGGAUGGCAAUGGUCUACCUGUUCAAGCCUGGAGGCUUUUUAUCAUCUGCUGUUAUUCUCUCAAGUGCCAGGAAGGGCCAGGGCAUGCUGGGUAAGUGUUCUUCCUCUGACCCCUCAAGAGCUUUUUAAGCCUUAUGCAUUUCUCAGGCUUACCACUAGCUGCCUGCUGGAGAGGACACCAGCACACUUU